rnacentral:rRNA from 1 species
ACGCUGAAAGAGAAAUGAAACAACCCAGUAAAGCCUAAAAAAGCAGAGAUUUGUUCUUGUACCUUUUGCAUCAUGAUUUAGCCAGUACACCCGAGCAAAGAGAACUUUAGUUCGGCCCCCCGAAACUAAGUGAGCUACUCCAAGACAGCCUAAUAUAGGGCGAACCCGUCUCUGUGGCAAAAGAGUGGGAAGAGCUUCGAGUAGAGGUGACAAAUCUACCGAACUUAGUGAUAGCUGGUUGUUUGAGAAAUGGAUAGGAGUUCAGCCUCUCGGCUUCUUACCUCAAUUCUUGUUUAUACUUUAAUUAGAGCCCUGAAGAAACCGAAAGAGUUAAUCUAAGGGGGUACAGCCCCUUAGAUAAAGGACACAACCUUCACAGGAGGGUAAAGAUCAUAUUUUAUUUAAGGUAAAGUAUCCCGGUGGGCUUAAAAGCAGCCAUCCUCCCAGAAAGCGUUAAAGCUCAGAUACCCUCAACCUUCCAUCGAUCCCGAUAACACAAUCUCAUCCCCCUUUCAAUAUCAAACUAUCCACUGCAAGCAGUGGAGAAAUAAUGCUAAUAUGAGUAAUAAGAGAAAAAAGAUUCUCUCCCUGCACAAGUGUACUUCGGAACGGACCCCCCGCCGAAUUUUAACGUCCCCCAACAAAGAGGGAAAUGGGCUACAAAUAAAACAACUAGAAAAAUGUCCAAAACGAGACCGUUAACCCCACACUGGUGUGCUACAUGGGAAAGACUAAAAGGAGGGGAAGGAACUCGGCAAACACUUAAAGCCUCGCCGGUUUACCAAAAACAUCGCCUCUUGCAAGACCAAUGAAUAAGAGGUCCCGCCUGCCCUGUGACUAUUUGUUUAACGGCCGCGGUAUUUGAACCGGGCGAAGGUAGCGCAAUCACUUGUCUUUUAAAUGGAAACCUGUAUGAAUGGCACCACAAGGGCUUGACUGGUUUCCUCUCCCAGCCAAUGGAAUUGAUUUCCCCGUGCAGAAACCGGGAUAACAACUUAAAAAGAGAAAACCCUUUGGGUUU